rnacentral:rRNA from 1 species
AACGUAGGUUCCGAGCGUUAUCCGGAUUUACUGGGCGUAAAGCGCGUUCAGGCGGUUUGGCAAGUCGGGCAUGAAAUCUCUGGGCUCAACCCGGAGAGGUUGUCCGAUACUGCUGAACUGGAGGGCAGUAGAGGAUGGAGGAAUUCCUGGUGUAGCGGUGAAAUGCGUAGAUAUCAGGAGGAACACCUGUGGCGAAGGCGUCCAUCUGGCCCGUUACUGA